GCCUGUCAGACAGCCAUACGACCAUCUCAGCCAGCUUGCUGACCGAGAACGAUCCCCUACAGCUUGGGGGAUUCUAUGGAACCAUCAAGCCAUCAAUCACGCUCUAAUCGCAUGGCAUCUUAUUCAUCCACCAGACUUGAGUUCCUGUCUCCUUAAUGCUUAAGGACACAGAAGUAGGAGCCUAUAGAACAGAUCCUGUUC
rnacentral:snoRNA from 1 species